UACGAAGGAUGCAAGCGUUAUCCGGAAUUAUUGGGUUUAAAGGGUGCGUAGGCGGACCUAUAAGUCAGUGGUGAAAGCCCCAAGCUCAACUUGGGAACUGCCAUUGAUACUGUUGGUCUUGAGUACAGUUGAGGUAGGCGGAAUGUGUCAUGUAGCGGUGAAAUGCUUAGAUAUGACACAGAACACCGAUUGCGAAGGCAGCUUGCUAAGCUGUAACUGACGCUGAUGCACGAAAGCGUGGUAGCAAACAGG
rnacentral:rRNA from 1 species